UCUCAGUGGUGAAACCGGCUCGGUCAAACGGGCUUUGAAAAGGCUCGAGCGGAGUGCGGGGAAACUCGCACGCUCCGUUCCACGGGGGCGGCGAC
rnacentral:tRNA from 1 species